rnacentral:rRNA from 1 species
UACGAAGGGGGCUAGCGUUGCUCGGAAUCACUGGGCGUAAAGGGCGCGUAGGCGGAUCUUUAAGUCGGGGGUGAAAGCCCAGGGCUCAACCCUGGAAUUGCCUUCGAUACUGAAGAUCUCGAGACCGGAAGAGGUAAGUGGAACUGCGAGUGUAGAGGUGAAAUUCGUAGAUAUUCGCAAGAACACCAGUGGCGAAGGCGGCUUACUGGUCCGGUUCUGACGCUGAGGCGCGAAAGCGUGGGGAGCAACAGG